rnacentral:rRNA from 1 species
CCUACGGGGGGCAGCAGUGGGGAAUAUUGCACAAUGGGCGCAAGCCUGAUGCAGCGACGCCGCGUGAGGGAUGACGGCCUUCGGGUUGUAAACCUCUUUCAGUGCCGACGAAGCGCAAGUGACGGUAGGCAUAGAAGAAGGACCGGCCAACUACGUGCCAGCAGCCGCGGUAAUACGUAGGGUCCGAGCGUUGUCCGGAAUUACUGGGCGUAAAGAGCUCGUAGGUGGUUUGUCGCGUUGUUCGUGAAAACUCACAGCUCAACUGUGGGCGUGCGGGCGAUACGGGCAGACUUGAGUACUGCAGGGGAGACUGGAAUUCCUGGUGUAGCGGUGGAAUGCGCAGAUAUCAGGAGGAACACCGGUGGCGAAGGCGGGUCUCUGGGCAGUAACUGACGCUGAGGAGCGAAAGCGUGGGGAGCGAACAGGAUUAGAUACCCUA